rnacentral:rRNA from 1 species
UACAGAGGGUGCGAGCGUUAAUCGGAAUUACUGGGCGUAAAGCGCGCGUAGGCGGCUUUGCAAGUCGGGUGUGAAAUCCCCAGGCUUAACCUGGGAACUGCAUUCGAGACUGCAUUGCUAGAGUAUGGGAGAGGGAAGUGGAGUUUCCGGUGUAGCGGUGAAAUGCGUAGAUAUCGGAAGGAACAUCAGUGGCGAAAGCGACUUCCUGGACCAAUACUGACGCUCAUGUGCGAAAGCGUGGGGAGCAAACGGG